rnacentral:rRNA from 1 species
AUUGAACGCUGGCGGCAGGCCUAACACAUGCAAGUCGAAUGGUAACAGGAAACAGCUUGCUGUUUCGCUGACGAGUGGCGGACGGGUGAGUAAUGUCUGGGAAACUGCCUGAUGGAGGGGGAUAACUACUGGAAACGGUAGCUAAUACCGCAUAACGUCGCAAAACCAAAGAGGGGGACCUUCGGGCCUCUUGCCAUCAGAUGUGCCCAGAUGGGAUUAGCUAGUAGGUGGGGUAACGGCUCACCUAGGCGACGAUCCCUAGCUGGUCUGAGAGGAUGACCAGCCACACUGGAACUGAGACACGGUCCAGACCCCUACGGGAGGCAGCAGUGGGGAAUAUUGCACAAUGGGCGCAAGCCUGAUGCAGCCAUGCCGCGUGUAUGAAGAAGGCCUUCGGGUUGUAAAGUACUUUCAGCGGGGAGGAAGGGAGUAAAGUUAAUACCUUUGCUCAUUGACGUUACCCGCAGAAGAAGCACCGGCUAACUCCGUG